CUAUGUGAAAUCCCUCCAUGUGUUCCUCUUUUUGCCGUGGAGACCUGGGUGUGAGGAAUCUUUCUAGGAGAGAGACUCCUAGGCGGAUGGGAGUUUCUCUCCCUCCUAGCGCAUGCAACCCUUUCCACCCGCAUGUGAAGAGAGAUAAGAUAUGGGGUGCACCUCUUUUUUCUCUUCCUAGAAGGUGCACCCCCCUAGGGCUCCUUGCUGCAUGAAAGAUUAGAGAGAGAGGGAGA
rnacentral:lncRNA from 1 species